AAGGUUCUGGCGGGUCUUGGCACUGGAAGAAUUCACAGAUGUGCAGUGUAUAAUCGUGGAUCUUGCAAUGCCAUCACUUGCUGGAUACCGA
rnacentral:pre_miRNA from 11 species